rnacentral:rRNA from 1 species
CCUACGGGGGGCAGCAGUCGGGAAUCUUGGACAAUGGGCGCAAGCCUGAUCCAGCCAUGCCGCGUGAAUGAUGAAGGCCUUAGGGUUGUAAAAUUCUUUCGUCGGGGACGCGGUACCCGAAGAAGAAGCUCCGGCUAACUUCGUGCCAGCAGCCGCGGUAAUACGAAGGGGGCUAGCGUUGUUCGGAAUUACUGGGCGUAAAGCGCGUGUAGGCGGACCGUUAAGUCGGGGGUGAAAGCCCAGAGCUCAACUCUGGAAUUGCCUUCGAUACUGGCGGUCUGGACCCAAGUAGAGGCGAGUGGAAUUACGAGUGUAGAGGUGAAAUUCGUAGAUAUUCGUAGGAACACCAGUGGCGAAGGCGACUCGCUGGACUGGGUGACGCUGAGACGCGAAAGCGUGGGGAGCAAACAGGAUUAGAUACCCUUGUAGUC